GACGAACGCUGGCGGCGGGCUUAACACAUGCAAGUCGAACGGAAAGGCCCUGCUUUUGGGGGGGGCUCGAGUGGCGAAAGGGUGAGUAACACUGGAGUAACCUGCCCGGGACUUUGGGAUAACUUCAGGUAACUGGGGCUAAGAACGGAUAGGAGCCCCUGCGCCAUGGUGGAGGUUGGAAAGUUUAGGCGGUUGGGGAUGGACUCGUGGCUUAUGGGCUGGUUGGUGGGGUAGCGGCUUACCAAGGCUUUGACGGGUAGCCGGCCUGAGAGGGUGACCGGCCAACUUGGGACUGAGCUACGGGCGGGAGUACUACGGGAGGCAGCAGUGGGGAAUAUUGCACAAUGGGGGGAAGCCUGAUGCAGCAACGCGGCGUGCGGGAUGACGGACUUCGGGUUGAAGAGCGCUUUAGGCUGUAACGAAGCGUGAGUGACGGUAAUGGGUAAAGAAGCACCGGCUAACUCCGUG
rnacentral:rRNA from 1 species